AUUCUCGGUUUUCUAUGUUAAUUGUACUCAAAGUCUUUCUUUUGUUUUUGAAGUUCCGCUUGAAUGAUCUUCAUCGUGGCGGAGAAGUCUUCAUCAAGGCGGCCUCUUCAAUCUUCAUACCGGCGGCGAAAUCCUCAUCCAAGCAGCGAGAAGUCUUCAUCCAGGCGGCAUCUUCUAUCUUUAUCCCGGUGGUGUGGAUCGGGUCCAUCCAGAAGACAUCCGACGCGGAGCAUCCUCUUCAUACGGUCGCCGCCGUAUACUAAAUCUUCAAUGCAAGCUCCUGUCAUGGGGGGUCCUGGGAUCCUCUGAACUCGCCCUCCGCAGACCACCUCAUCACGACUUCUGACCAGCUCUUACAACUAACAGCUUAUCGCAG